rnacentral:misc_RNA from 1 species
UCACGCGGUACCUGCAUUGGACCGGC